UACAGAGGGUGCAAGCGUUAAUCGGAAUUACUGGGCGUAAAGCGUGCGUAGACGGUUAUGUAAGUCAGAUGUGAAAGCCCCGGGCUCAACCUGGGAAUUGCAUUCGAGACUGCAUUGCUGGAGUACGGAAGAGGAGGGCGGAAUUCCCGGUGUAGCGGUGAAAUGCGUAGAUAUCGGGAGGAACAUCAGUGGCGAAGGCGGCCCUCUGGUCCAGUACUGACACUCAAGUGCGAAAGCGUGGGGAGCAAACAGG
rnacentral:rRNA from 1 species